GGGGGGACAGGGUGACAGGUGGUGCAUGGUUGUCGUCAGCUCGUGUCGUGAGAUGUUGGGUUAAGUCCCGCAACGAGCGCAACCCUCGACCUUAGUUGCCAGCAUUCAGUUGGGCACUCUAAGGUGACUGCCGGCUAAAAGUCGGAGGAAGGUGGGGAUGACGUCAAAUCAUCAUGCCCCUUAUGACCUGGGCUACACACGUGCUACAAUGGGCGGUACAAAGGGUCGCGAACCCGCGAGGGGGAGCCAAUCCCAAAAAGCCGCUCUCAGUUCGGAUUGCAGGCUGCAACUCGCCUGCAUGAAGCCGGAAUCGCUAGUAAUCGCGGAUCAGCAUGCCGCGGUGAAUACGUUCCCGGGCCUU
rnacentral:rRNA from 1 species